rnacentral:lncRNA from 1 species
AGGGACCAAACCAUCUCGACGAUUAGGUCAACUCUUAACCUAAUCGGGUCAAACCCAACUGAAUCCAAUUCAAUUGGACUUGAUCCAAAAAUAAUUACUCAAUUAAAUUGAGUUAAUUAGUGAUCAAAUCACUAAUUAAAUCUCUCAUAAAUAUUGAGUCCAAAUUUGAUGGGCAAUCGGGCAUCAGAAUUCAUCGAUAUGAAAUUCUGAUCGAAAAGUCCCAAACCAGUGGGACUCUUGACCCC